rnacentral:misc_RNA from 1 species
UUGAAUUUAAUGAGGAGUUGGUUGUUGCUGGCCUUGGGGUUUUUUUAAUUAAUUAUUCCGGGCACUUGUGCACGCCUUCUCUUUCAUCCACACACACCUGUGCACUUGUGAGACAGACUGUGGGGGACUUUAUUGGACUCCCGUCUGUCUACUUAAUUCACACACACUCUAUUUAAUUUAAACUGAAUGUAAUUGAUGUAACGCAUCUAAUAC